GCCAGACCCUGAGUCAUAAGGCCUCUUCCUUCACCAGCUGAAGAGGAGGAUCGAGGCACCAGGAUUUGAGGGCAAAUCACCCAGAGCUGCUAAUGAGAUUUACCAAAGUUGGUGAGCCAGCUAAUUCAGGCUUCUGAAUAACACUUUGAGAUGGGCGCAUUAAGCCACUUAAGUCUUUCUCAGUGACUGAAAUGCUCUGUAUGUAUCAGAUGCAAACGAAUCUCAAAACCUAACCCAUGAACAGUGACAGCCAUCAAAAUCCUCCAAGAGAUGCUCUAAGCUGGACAGACCACACACGUGAACAAAUAAUUAUGAUGCAGGCGUUGGGAGCUGUAACACAGAGAUAAACAGAGCAUGGUGAGAGCACGGGACAGAGAGCUGCCAAGUUGGACCAGAGACUGUGAGCUCCUCAAGAACAUGCGACCUUGUAAGAUUCAUCUCUUCAAUCCUCUACCCAGCGCUGGACAUGGAGCACAAUGAGCAUCAGUCUAUUAAUGCUGUGAGGCUGUGGUGGUGAUGUGUCUAUCGCUUGGGGGAAUGAAAGUGAAGCGUGCUGGAUGCUUACAAUGGAAUACCAUGCCACAGCAAGAAGGAGCAGAAUCAUUCACUGAAACCCUGAUCUGAGCCUGACCUGGAUUCUCGCUUUCUUCUGUCCCACCAACAUGGCAACCUCGUUCCUGCUGUGGCCUUUGCACAUGCUGUUCCCUCCGCCUGGAACUCUCUUCUGCCCUUCACAUGCUCGCUCCUUCUCAUCACUUUGGUCUCUGUUCUAACCUCAGUGAAGCAGUAACUGCUGAAUUCCUUGUUCAGUGUCUGUCUUUCCUGACAUUCUGUCUGCUCCAUGAGAGCAAAGGCUAACAACUGUGUCUGUCUUGCUCAUUGCUGCAACCUGAGCACCUGGGACAGGCUGACCCCAGUGUGUGUGUGUAUGGGGGGGGUUACGGUGUAUUUCCCCCCCAUAAAGAAAACAGUCACAGGCUCCUAGGCAAGAGAGCCAUUUCCCUUCUCGAGCUGGAAGAUCAGAGCAUUUCAGACCUUGGAGAGCCUCCUGUCCAUCCACUCUGUUUUCCUGAAGGGGAAACUGAGGCUUAGAGCCUAGAAGGUCCUGGCCAGAGGCC
rnacentral:lncRNA from 1 species